rnacentral:rRNA from 1 species
AGUGAACGCUGGCGGUAGGCCUAACACAUGCAAGUCGAACGGCAGCACAGUAAGAGCUUGCUCUUACGGGUGGCGAGUGGCGGACGGGUGAGGAAUACAUCGGAAUCUACUUUUUCGUGGGGGAUAACGUAGGGAAACUUACGCUAAUACCGCAUACGACCUACGGGUGAAAGCAGGGGAUCUUCGGACCUUGCGCGAUUGAAUGAGCCGAUGUCGGAUUAGCUAGUUGGCGGGGUAAAGGCCCACCAAGGCGACGAUCCGUAGCUGGUCUGAGAGGAUGAUCAGCCGCACUGGAACUGAGACACGGUCCAGACUCCUACGGGAGGCAGCAGUGGGGAAUAUUGGACAAUAGGCGCAAGCCUGAUCCAGCCAUACCGCGUGGGUGAAGAAGGCCUUCGGGUUGUAAAGCCCUUUUGUUGGGAAAGAAAAGCAGCAGGUUAAUACCCCGCUGUUCUGACGGUACCCAAAGAAUAAGCACCGGCUAACUUCGUG